rnacentral:rRNA from 1 species
AGAUAAAUCAUAGAGAUAGGUAGUUGUUAAGGUAAUGGCUUAACUAGCCCAAGAUUCUCUUAGUCGAAACUGAAAUGGUUGAUCGACCACAUUGGGGCUGAAAAAAACCCAAUACAAGUGAGUACAGCAGUGGGGAAUAUUGGUCAAUGGCCUAACGGCUGAACUGGCAACUUGGAGGAAUGGCCUAUCUUACUAAGUAAUAGUAAGAAUUAGAGUGAAAUGAUGGUUAAAUCGAUUAUCGAAUAAAAUUCUAAAUAUAUAAAUUAUAAUGACUAUAUAUAUUUAUGUCUUGACUAAUUACGUGCCAGCAGUCGCGGUAAUACGUAAGAGACUAGUGUUACUCAUUUUUAAUAGGUUUAAAGGGUACCCAGACGGAAGAAAUUUGCCUGGAAAGGAACAAUUUCUAUCUAGAGUUAAUAUAAGAAGGUCGUACUUGUGGAAUAGAGAUGAAAUACUUUUAUACCUAAUAAGGGACUGGUAAAGGCGAAAGCAACCUUUUAUGUAAAAACUGACGUUGAAGGACGAAGGCUUAGAACAUGAAUAGGAUUAGAUACCCUAGUAGUCUUAGCAGAAAAUGAUGAAUGUCAUAGGUUAGGUUAUACUUAGUCCAUAAAUGAAAAUGUAAGCAUUUCACCUCAAGAGUAACGUGGCAACACGGAAACUGAAAUCACUAGACCGUUUCUGACAUCAGUAGUGAAGUAUGUUAUUUAAUUCGAUGAUCCACGAAAAACCUUACCACAAUUAGAAUUGUAUUUAUAAUAUUUAUAUUAUAAAUAUAACGAGUGUUGCACGGCUGUUUCCAGUUAAUGUUGUGAAACUAUGGCUUCGGCCAUGUAAUUAACGAAAACCCUUGCUUUAUUUAUAUAUUUUUUUUAUAAAGCUGCUUUUAUCACCAUACCGAUAAAAUAGUAGGGCCAAAGACAAGUCAUCAUGGCCUUUAUAUUGUGGGCUAUAGACGUGCCACAUAUUCCUAGACAAAGAGAUGCCAAAAUGCGAAUUUAAGCUAAUCUCAAAAAAUAGGAUAAAAUAGGAUAAGGAUUGUAGUCUGAAACUCGACUACAUGAAUAAGUAA